rnacentral:rRNA from 1 species
UACAUAGGGGGCAAGCGUUGUUCGGAAUUACUGGGCGUAAAGGGCGCGUAGGCGGCCUUCUAAGUCGAACGUGAAAUCCCCGGGCUCAACCCGGGAACUGCGUCCGAUACUGGAAGGCUUGAAUCCGGGAGAGGGAUGCGGAAUUCCAGGUGUAGCGGUGAAAUGCGUAGAUAUCUGGAGGAACACCGGUGGCGAAGGCGGCAUCCUGGACCGGCAUUGACGCUGAGGCGCGAAAGCCAGGGGAGCAAACAGG